rnacentral:misc_RNA from 1 species
UAUAUCAUGAAAAACUUAAAAACACCAGCAUAGGUAUGUAAAUAUGUAUAAUGUAUUGACAAGUAUGCACAAAGGGGCAGUAAAGGCAAUGAGAAGCAAUGAAAAACCAAUGGAAUAGCCAUCCAAUUGUACUUCAAGAAAAUAGAAUCCAACACAAACUAAAAUUGUUCCAGCACAUCUAAAAGGAAAAGCUCCUAGAAGUUGAACAAGAGCAAGAUAAAAAUUAAUCUAUUUCUAUGGUUUUGCCCUUGUCCAAACGUGCUGCUAGAGGACUGGAUGGAGUUGGCUGCUGCUGAAGAUUGCUUCUUGCUAGAGGAGGGAGAUUUGGCUUGUGGGGUUGAGGUAGAAGCACUGACCCCUUGUCGUGUGGAAGCCGAAAUUCUGGGGUUUUUGGGUGUAGGCUCUGAAAGUGGAGUAGCAAGUGGGUCUUUUCGUUUUGCGGGAGGGGUGCAGAGGCUAUGGGUCGGGUUGAUUUAGACUGGAUUCUCCUUUUAUAUGUGGAUGUAGGAGGAGGUGGAGGGGUUUGUUGUGGAGGAGAUCGGGAUUGGGGGCUUGCAUGGCUAGGGGUGUGACUUAGAGAGGAGAGCCUUGAGGGGAAGGGGGAGGCAUUUCCAUGGUGGUGGUCGAUGAUGGUAGGAAUGGAGGAGGGAAGAAGAAAAUAAAAGAGAUAGAGGGGAAGUUGGGUAUCGGUCGGCAAAAAAGGGUGUGGGGUUGAUGCCGAAAGAAAUGAGAAGGACGUGAACAGUAAUGACGGGAAGUGGGAGGUGGGAAAAUGGGUAGUGUAAAAAUUUUGAUUUGCACAAGAUGUGCGAAUUUGUGCACAAGGGGAAAAUGAUGUGCAUAAGUCAUGUAAGUUCUUAUGCAAGUUUUGGUAAGAAUGGGGAGUCUGAAAAGUUGGUCGUGCAAAAGUGCAUAACUUAUGUACUCUCUUAUGCAAGUUUCGGCAGAAAUGGAAAUCCCAGAAAAUUUGGUUAUGCAAUAGUGCAUAAGCUGUGCAUUUGGUUAUGCGGAAUUCAGGAGAAAUGAAAAUGCAGGAUUUGAAGUUAUGCAAGAAUGCAUAAGUUAUGCACACACUUAUGCAAGUUUCGGCAGAAAAGAAAAAUGGUAAAAAAUUGUGGCGGUGCAGAAUUGCAUAAGUUAUGUACUCUUUUAUGCAGUUUUCGGCAAGAAAUGAAAUGACAAAAAUUUGGUUAUACAGGAUUGCAUAAGUUAUGCGAGAGCUUAUGCAGGUUUCGGCAGAAAAGAAAAAUGGCAAAAAAUUGUGAUCCA